rnacentral:rRNA from 1 species
AGUGAACGCUGGCGGUAGGCCUAACACAUGCAAGUCGAACGGCAGCACAGUAAGAGCUUGCUCUUACGGGUGGCGAGUGGCGGACGGGUGAGGAAUACAUCGGAAUCUACUUUUUCGUGGGGGAUAACGUAGGGAAACUUACGCUAAUACCGCAUACGACCUACGGGUGAAAGCGGGGGAUCUUCGGACCUUGCGCGAUUGAAUGAGCCGAUGUCGGAUUAGCUAGUUGGCGGGGUAAAGGCCCACCAAGGCGACGAUCCGUAGCUGGUCUGAGAGGAUGAUCAGCCACACUGGAACUGAGACACGGUCCAGACUCCUACGGGAGGCAGCAGUGGGGAAUAUUGGACAAUGGGCGCAAGCCUGAUCCAGCCAUACCGCGUGGGUGAAGAAGGCCUUCGGGUUGUAAAGCCCUUCUGUUGGGAAAGAAAAGCAGCAGGUUAAUACCCCGCUGUUCUGACGGUACCCAAAGAAUAAGCACCGGCUAACUUCGUG